ACCGCAUUUGGUAGUUAACCAGUCAUAAGUCACCCGCAAACACACCAAUUUUUAACCGCAGUACCAGUCGUACAAAUCUCUUAAAACCGCUAGAAACCGCAACCGCCCGCAUCCACAAACUCCCGCAACCGCAACCGCUGCGUUUGAACCAGUCAGGCCCUUAGUGUUCUUUGGCAAUAGUACAUGACUUUUCUUUGAUAAAUAAAUUACGUGACUUUUCUAAUAAUUUUAUUUUUUUCAAAAUAUUAGUAUUUAUAUAUUUAUGCAUUAAUAUAGAAAAGAUAAAGAAAAAGAUCAAUGGAUUAAUAAUAACUAUAAUUUUUAUAUCAUUUAAAUUAAAAUUCUUAAAUUACAAAAUAUCUCAUAUUAGUAAAAAAAUUCUUAAUUUAAAAUUUUAAAGAAUUUUUUAAUUAAAAUAGCUCAUAUUAAACUAAAACAUAAAUAUAAUAUAGGAAUGUAUUUCUCGAAAUUUAGAACCAUAAUUGCAGGCAUAUGCAUACUGAAGGCUCUUCAACCCUCCAAAACAUAGAUUUUAUUUUCACUCUACAAAUCCAAAAGUAUAUUGUAAAAUAGAUCUUCGACAAUAUAGUAAAUCAAAAGUCUUGAACUCAAUUGCUUUAAAAUCAAAAUGAAGUGACUGGAAUCAUCUAAUAUAAAUAUAUAUACACACACACACAUAUAUAUAUAUAAGCAAUGAAGAUAUAAUAAAUUCAUUUACUAUUCACAUGAUGUAAUAUAAGUUUCUCAAAAAUCAAAUUAAACUUUCAUUGAUUUGAAUGGUUUCAAAUUAAUUUGCAACAGAGUUAAAAACGGCCAUUAGUGAGGUAGGAAAGCUUUUUUGGAAGUAUUAUUUAGGUUUCAGAAAUGGAUAUGAAUGAUGAAGGGGAAGAAAAGCAAGGCUCAUCUAUUUUAAAGUGAUUGAUUUGCCAAUGGUAAUUAAAGUGAUGAUCAAUCAAAUAUCUCAAGGUUUCCAUAUACAAUUAAUACUAACACACAAAUAUAUAAUGGUAUAAAUUAGCAAGGAAACAAUAUAUCUUUGUAUACUGAUAUUCCUUUUUUCAUCUUAUAAAAUAUAUUUAAAAGCACCCAUCGACAAUAGAAUAUACACAAAUAAAGACAUUCUAAUAAAUUUAGCUGGAUCACAAUAAGAUAUAUAAUCUUGACCAACGUAAACAUACUUGUAUAUAGUCAUUGAAAUGCAAUGUUGUUAAUCAUGAAUUAGCUUGACCAACUAAGUUAUAUAUAGGCAUUGCAGGUUCAGCUUGUUAAAAAUCCAAUUUUGUAACUCGAAUAAGUAUAGUGCAAGGUUGUUCGACUAUCAAGUAUUCAAUUUUCUACAAAGGAACGGUUGUUCAGAUUUACUUUCAGGCUUUAAGAACAACUAUCUGAGUUUACAAACGCUUAAAAUAGUCUUCUUUGCUGACGUAAUUGGUAAUAAGAGGUUGAAUGUUACAUUAGUUUCUUUUGUCCGAGUUGUUAGUGAAAUAAUCUUGUUUUCAUACUAACAUGUUAUCAGAGGAAGACAUUUCACAUUUUCAGUGACUUUUGUUCAUUUGAUUUCUAUCGAGGAAGAUGUUACUCAGGUGGUAUGAAAAAAAAACACUGAUAAUAUAAUUAAAGUGAGUCAAAAUAUUGUGAUACUAUAAUGAAAGUGGGUCACGAAUUGUUUUAUGGAGAAAUUACAUGUUUACCACUUUCUUACUAUCACUUUUCAUUUUUACCACCGUUAAAGGAACAUUUACAAAAAUACAUUCUUCUUACUAUCAUUGUUCUUUAUAUAUAUCAUAAAUAAAAAUACAAAAAUAUAAAGUAAUUUUUUAAUUUUUUUCGAAUUAUACUAUUUCGAAAUUCAAACCCUAACCCCUCAAAACUCAACUCUAAACCCUAAACCAUCAAUCCUAAACCAUAUUUUAUUUUUGAAAUAUGAAAUCUAAACCUUAAACCGUCAAUCUUAAACCCUAUUUUUUUUGGAAAUACGAACCCUAAACCCUGAAACAUCAACUCUAAAUUCUAAAGCCCGAAACAUCAAUUCUAAAUCCUAAAACAUCAACUCUAAACACUAAACCCUAAACUUUAAAUCUAAACCCUAAACACUAAACCCUAAACGAAACAAGUGUUCAUCACUUUCAGAGGUCAAACUCACAGAGAAGGCCUUGUGAGUUUUCUUACAGAUAAAUUAGGGACGAGCGGUAUCAACAAGACGAGAGGGUAUCCGAUCACAAUAGUUUUCCGACGAAUCAGAGAGUCAGGUGUUGCAAUCGUCUUCUUCUCAGCCAAGCCAAGUACCCCGAGUCAUGCUGGUGCUUAGACGAGCUCGUUGAGAUCAAGAAGCAAAUGGAGAUAGGAUCUAUUAUCCCUUUUCCAGUAUUCUACAAAGUGAGAGCUGAGUCCGUCAAGAAACAGACUGGUUGGUUCGGCCAUGCUCUCCUCAGAACUGAGGAUCUUGUUCGCAAGAAAGUUGAUCGCGGAAGCAACAAGUCAAUUCUUGAAGCAGAGUUAAAGAUCUGGGAGUGGGAGAGGAGGCAAGCCAUAGUGUCUGUUGGAGGAAGAAUGGGGUUUCCUUAUAAACAUAGCUCUGAUGAGGUUUUCCUAAGUGAACUUGUCGUCAAAGUUAAGGAACUAAGGGAAUCAGCAUGGGUUGGUUUUGAGGUACGUAUGUGAAGAAAAUAUUAAUAGAAAAAGUAAAAAUUAGAAAGGGAAGGUAGUACCUAGGAAGAACGAUUCUUUAUAAAAAAAAAACCCAUCAAACUUAUUCUGAGGUACUCAUCUCCAAGUGUUAGCUUUUUACAGCUACAUCUUAUUAGAAAACAUUAAUUUUAAUUGCAUAACAAAUUACACUUACAAAUAUUAAUAAACUUAUAUUUAGGUACUCAUUUAGAGAGACUUGCUACUAAAGAUGUUCUAAGAGCACGAUUAAUGCAAGUUUCUUAGUUAGUUUUUACUAUUAAAAUAUAAAAAAAUAAUUACAAAUAUGAAAGAGAAAUAAAAUAUGUCUCUUAUUUAAGAGAUAUAAGAGACAUCUCUUAACUUAGUCUCUAAUUUUCUUCCACGUAUCUUUUUAUGAAUGAUUUAUUUUAUUUUAUUAAAAUAAAUUUUAAUUAUAGAAUUAUUUUAUUAAUAAAAUUUAUUUAAUAGACUCUAUUGUGGGUAUAUACCAUUGAUCAUGUUCUAAUAGACACAAUUUCUUCUCCAAAAAAUAUUCAGAUUGUUAUAGAGAAACCUAUGAUGCAUCCCGAGGAGGCAGUGAUGUCGUUAUUACAAGCUUUAAACCUUAGCAAGUUAGCAUAUCAUCGGACAUUAAAGAUCUUAUUACGAAGCCGUUCAUUCAUAUCAAUGGUUCCCUGAGCACUGAUCAUCUGGUGUUUCUCGACCUGAACUCUAUUAAGAACCCUCUCCUGGCUCAGACACUAUUCAAGCCGGGUCAAGCUGGAAAUAUUCUCUUGGUGCUGCUUGGUUUUCUAGAAUACUACAAUGUGGAAGUCACUAGUAAGUUUCUUGCAUGUCACGCAACGAUCACUCUUUUACAUGUAUCCUUUUAUUCCUUAAUUUCGUUCAACUGACGAAUUGCUCAAUUGUGGUAGGUUUUUUUCGGGUUUGGAUCCCUCGGGUCCUAGAUAUUUGGAUCGAACUAGGUACUUAGACUUUUUUUAUUUGGAUUUGAAUUGGUUUUUAUCGGGUUCGGAUUUGGGUUUAUAAUUUCAAUACCCGUAACUUUUUGGAUAUAUAUCGGGAUAAUGUAUUUAGGACAAAAACUGAAUCCGAAAAACUAAAAAAAAAAGAAUACUCAAAGACCGAAAUACACUCGAAGAACCAAAAAAAAAACCCGAAAUCUGACUCGAAAAAUCAAAAUACCUGAAAUAUUACUCAAAAAUCCCAAUUAUAUUUUUUUAAGUCAAAAAUUUUAUCCGAAACUAUAACCGAAAACCCGAACUUGAAACUUAAAAAAAAUAUCUGAAAUAUCAAAAAAUGACAAAACACCCAAAUUUACCUAAUAUGUACAAAAAAUUUCUCGUAUUUCGGAUACCCCGGGUCUCAAAUAGGAUCUGGAUCCGAACCGAGAUCCGCAGAUCUAAAGAAAAAAGACCUAACAAGUAUUUUAGUAUGAACCCAGAACUGGACCCGAACUUGUAUUUGGAUCGGUUCGGUUUAGAUUUUCGGGUCCGGGUUAGGCCUAGUUAAGGAAUGAGAUUUUGAAGGUGAAAUUUAAAUUUUUAAAACAUAAAAAAAAAUUAAAAAAGAAAUAAUCUUAUAAGAAUUUUUGAAUUUCCAAAAAAAAAAAAAUUGGAAAAAAUGUCUAUCAUAAAGAAUUUCUCAUUAUCUAAUGUAUUUAUCCUUUUUUGUCACAUUAUUCAAAUAUAUUUAUAAUUUCUUAAAUUCCUAAUUAAACUUAGAGAAAAGGAAGAAUCAAUUGGUGUUGAGAAGAAAAAAAAAAAUCAAAACGGCACCGUGGAGAGAGGAUGAUUUCUAGAACUUUCUUUAAAUGUCUCUUCUACGUGAAAGACGAUUGAAAGACAGUCUCUCACGGAUUCACCUUCUUCCUCGUUGUCUCCCAACUCUCAGGUGCAAUGGCAAGCAAGUUUCCCGGAAUGGAGAAUGAAAUACUCGAGGUCUUCCCCAAACUUGAUGAGAUUCCACCUGGAAUUGCAAUAAAGUUUGAAGAAAUGAUUCGAUGCUUUCUACAGACUAAAAGCAAGAAUCCUACACUCAAGCAGUUUAGAGUUUAUAAACACCUCCGAGAGGUCUAUGAUGAUGAAGGCAAGCUUGUCUGUUUCUUUAAGACUUCCAGAGAUGCAAAGAAAGAAGCAGCAGUGUACAUUCUGGAUCAUCCACUUUCUGGACACCGUUCCGGUUCUUCCGAACUAAUAGGCUUUGGUGGUGCCACACCCACAGUCUUCAUCAGGACACAGGAUGCUUCCGGGUGUUUGGUAUCGUUCGUGGAGAAUGAUGGCGUGGUUGGUGAUGAUCAACACUCUUCCUCAAGAGAUCAUUAAGCUGUCCAUUUUCCAUCUGCGCUUCGGAAAUGCAGACUGUCACGACAGGAACACGGUCACGAAGAUUGAUGAUCAACGUGUGCACCGUCUGACUCCGGUUGAUCAUGAGGAGUGUUUCACAGUUACUUAUGCUAUGCGAAGACUGUGGUGGACUGUGAGGAAGGAGGCGAAAGAAGCUUAUACUGAUGAAGUGGUGGGUUACGUGCAAGGGCUCGACGUUGAUGUAGACAUUGCAUUCUUGAAGAGAUGCGGUUGGGAAGUACCACGGGAGGUCUCGGUUCCAUACAAGAUAUUUACUCAUUUUCUGAAGAAAGGGGUCGAGUUUAAACUCACUGCAGAUCAUAUGGCGGUUCUUGUCCAGAAUAUU